CCUUCGGGACAGAGGAGACAGGUGGUGCAUGGUUGUCGUCAGCUCGUGUCGUGAGAUGUUGGGUUAAGUCCCGCAACGAGCGCAACCCUUGACUUUAGUUGCCAGCAGGUGAAGCUGGGCACUCUAGAGUGACUGCCGGUGACAAACCGGAGGAAGGUGGGGAUGACGUCAAAUCAUCAUGCCCCUUAUGACCUGGGCUACACACGUACUACAAUGGCCGGUACAACGGGAAGCGAAGGAGCGAUCUGGAGCCAAUCCCAGCAAAGCCGGUCUCAGUUCGGAUUGCAGGCUGCAACUCGCCUGCAUGAAGUCGGAAUUGCUAGUAAUCGCGGAUCAGCAUGCCGCGGUGAAUACGUUCCCGGGUCUUGUACACACCGCCCGUCACACCACGAGAGUUUACAACACCCGAAGUCGGUGGGGUAACCCGCAAGGGAGCCAGCCGCCGAAGGU
rnacentral:rRNA from 1 species